CCUACGGGGUGCAGCAGUGAGGAAUAUUGGUCAAUGGGCGCGAGCCUGAACCAGCCAAGUAGCGUGAAGGAUGACUGCCCUACGGGUUGUAAACUUCUUUUAUAAAGGAAUAAAGUGAGGCACGUGUGCCCUUUUGUAUGUACUUUAUGAAUAAGGAUCGGCUAACUCCGUGCCAGCAGCCGCGGUAAUACGGAGGAUCCGAGCGUUAUCCGGAUUUAUUGGGUUUAAAGGGAGCGGAGAUGGGUUGUUAAGUCAGUUGUGAAAGUUUGCGGCUGAACCGGAAAAUUGCAAUUGAUACUGGCAGUCUUGAGUACAGUAGAGGUAGGCGGAAUUCGUGGUGUAGCGGUGAAAUGCUUAGAGAUCACGAAGAACUCCGAUUGCGAAGGCAGCUUACUAAACUGCCACUGACAUUGAUGCUCGAAAGUGUGGGUAGCAAACAGGAUUAGAUACCCUUGUAGUC
rnacentral:rRNA from 1 species